rnacentral:misc_RNA from 1 species
UUAAGUUCAGCGGGUAUUCCUACCUGAUCCGAGGUCAACCAUUGAAAAAUAGAUGUUGUCCGGCUGGAACGCCCGGGUGGCUCGACGCGGGAGUAUUACUACGCUCGAUCACCGGCCGCACCGCCGCUGCUUUCCAGGCACGCCCCGGGGGACGGCACCCAAUACCAAGCCAGGCUUGAGGGUUAUAAUGACGCUCGAAC